UACGUAGGGGGCAAGCGUUGUCCGGAAUCAUUGGGCGUAAAGCGCGUGUAGGCGGCUCGAUAAGUCUGCUGUGAAAGUCCAGGGCUCAACCCUGGGAUGCCGGUGGAUACUGUCGAGCUCGAGUCCGGAAGAGGCGAGUGGAAUUCCUGGUGUAGCGGUGAAAUGCGCAGAUAUCAGGAGGAACACCAAUGGCGAAGGCAGCUCGCUGGGACGGUACUGACGCUGAGGCGCGAAAGCCAGGGGAGCAAACGGG
rnacentral:rRNA from 1 species